CGGAGCCGCAGCGAAAGCGAGUGUGAAUAGCGCGAAUAGUACGAUGCUGUAGACCCGAAACCAGGUGACCUACCCAUGGUCAGGAUGAAGGUGAGGUAAAACUUACUGGAGGUCCGAACCGGUGCAUGUUAAAAAAUGCUCGGAUGAACUGUGGGUAGCGGUGAAAUUCCAAACGAACUCGGAUAUAGCUGGUUCUCCUCCGAAAUAGCUUUAGGGCUAGCCUCAUUAUAAGCAUACUGGAGGUAGAGCACUGUUAAGCCUAGGGGCCCAUCUCGGGUUACCAAAGUUUGAUAAACUCCGAAUGCCAGAUAUGUAUGAAUGGGAGUCAGACGAUGAGUGAUAAGAUCCACCGUCGAAAGGGGAACAGCCCAGAUCGCCAGUUAAGGUCCCUAAAUAUAUGUUAAGUGGAAAACGAUGUGAUAGUGCAUAGACAACUAGGAUGUUGGCUUA
rnacentral:ncRNA from 1 species